UUAAAAAGUCCAUGGCACCUGAGAUAAACCUCAAAGGAUGAGUGAAGGGAAAGAAGAAAACAUUUUUUCUUAAUUUCUUCAUAUAUCAACUAUCACUCCUUUAAGCUGUAAGCUCAGCAGGGAAGGACAGUCUGUUGUCCAGUUUUAUCCCCAGUGCCUGGCACACAGCAAGUGCUCAAUAAACAUCUGUUGAAAUAAAUAAAAGAAGCAAGCAGAUUUGAGAAUGUUUGACUAAGAGGUAUUUUGUUGGAUUAAAACAAUUAUUUUCAAAUGUUUGUUUUUCAGCAAAAGAGAUUUUUUCUCCCCAAAUGAAAUCUUACCCAGAAUAUGUGAGAUUGAUUUGAAUCAGUGCCACUUGUGGAAGCACUAGCUGAAGGCUCACACCAUGUGCUCUCCACAGGCCCUUGGCAGCCCCCUUCCAUUAGGGAGCAUGGUACUGUGACCCUGGUCUACCAGGCACAGCAACAGCAUGCACUAGAAUCCCAGCUACUCCC
rnacentral:lncRNA from 1 species